rnacentral:rRNA from 1 species
CUACCUGCAGUCGACGAGAAGGGGAGCAAUCCCUGAGUACAGUGGCGUACGGGUGAGUAACACGUGGAUAAUCUACCUUCUGGUGGGGAAUAACCCUGGGAAACCGGGGCUAAUACCGCAUAAGCACGAGAGUGGAAAGCAGCAAUGCGCCGGAAGAGGAGUCCGCGGCCGAUUAGCUAGUUGGCAGGGUAAAAGCCUACCAAGGCAAAGAUCGGUAGCCGGCCUGAGAGGGCACACGGCCACACUGGCACUGAAACACGGGCCAGACUCCUACGGGAGGCAGCAGUGGGGAAUCUUGCACAAUGGGGGAAACCCUGAUGCAGCGACGCCGCGUGAGCGAUGAAGCCCUUCGGGGUGUAAAGCUCUUUCGGCAGGGAAGAUGAUGACGGUACCUGCAGAAGCAGCUGCGGCUAACUACGUGCCAGCAGCCGCGGUAAUACGUAGGCAGCAAGCGUUGUUCGGAGUUACUGGGCGUAAAGGGUGUGUAGGCGGUUGUUUAAGUUUGGUGUGAAAUCUCCCGGCUCAACCGGGAGGGUGCGCCGAAUACUGAAUGACUUCGAGUGCGGGAGAGGAGAGUGGAAUUCCUGGUGUAGCGGUGAAAUGCGUAGAUAUCAGGAGGAACACCGGUGGUGUAGACUACUCUCUGGACCGUAACUGACGCUGAGACACGAAAGCGUGGGUAGCAAACAGGAUUAGAUACCCUGGUAGUCCACGCCCUAAAACGAUGCAUAUUUGGUGUGGGCAGUUCAUUCUGUCCGUGCCGGAGCUAACGCGUUUAAAUAUGCCGCCUGGGGAGUACAGUCCCAAGGCUGAAACUCAAAGGAAUUGACGGGGGGCCCGCACAAGCGGU